GUCAUUCACUCCCGGCCCGAUGGCCGGAGCGUACUUCUCAGCCGAGAGAUGCACUCAUGUUUGACCAGCCCCAGUCAUCAUCAUGAGGAGGUGCCUCUGAUGACUACGUUCAGUUCACGUGAGAAGACCCACCGCGCCGUGCUUCCUCAGCGGCGUGCUCUGGA
rnacentral:sRNA from 25 species